rnacentral:lncRNA from 1 species
GACUCCUGAGCCCUUAGUUCCAGUCUGCUGAGUCACCACUAAUGUUUGCCUGCACGUGCACCAGGAGUGUUCCUGGGGUCUAAGGAAGCUGAAAGAAGGCAUUGAAUCCUCCGGAACUGUAGUUACAGGUGUUUCUAAGACACCAUAUUACUGCUGGGAAUGGACCUGAGUCCUCUGCAAGACCAGCAAAUGCCCUCCCUUAACUGCUGGACCACCUCACCAACUCUGAAAAGUUUUCUUCAAAAUGCGGCUUAAGUGAAGAGGGAACCAGCACAGGGCGAAGAUGACAACCAAGCAGAAGACAGUCUUUGCCACUUCUCGACGCUAAGGGCAAGUUCAUGCAAACAAGGAUAAAGUUUUCAAAGAUCUGCUGUUUGCAAACAGAGGAUAAGGGGAGGAGUUUUCAGCAGUGCUGGUUAGAGGCACUUGGCAUGUUGACGAACGAGUGACUCCAACUGAAGCCUUACCAGCCUCCGAGACGACUCGUGGACUGACCAGCCAGAGUUUAGGAACUAUCUGGACCUCUUCAUUUGGGUUCAGACUGCUGAGGUAUAUCAUCCCACUCACAUUUAGGAACAU